AUCGAACGCUAGCGGCAUGCCUAACACAUGCAAGUCGAACGGAGAGGCGAACGGGUGAGUAAUGUAUCGGAACGUGCCCAGUAGUGGGGGAUAACUACGCGAAAGCGGAGCUAAUACAGCAUACUAUCAGAGCGGCCAAUGUCGGAUUAGCUAGUUGGUGGGGUAAAGGCUUACCAAGGCGACGAUCCGUAGCUGGUUUGAGAGGACGAUAAGCCACACUGGGAAUGAGACACGGCCCAGACUCCUCCGGGAGGCAGCAGUGGGGAAGUUUGGACAAUGGGGGAAACCCUUAUCCAGCAAGCCCGCGUGUGCGAUGAAGGCCUUCGGGUUGUAAAGCACUUUAGGUAGGAAAGCGGUACCUGCAGAAUAAGCACCGGCUAACUACGUGCCAGCAGCCGCGGUAAUAC
rnacentral:rRNA from 1 species